GUGGGGAAUCUUGCGCAAUGGGCGAAAGCCUGACGCAGCCAUGCCGCGUGGAUGAUGAAGGUCUUAGGAUUGUAAAAUCCUUUCACCGGUGAAGAUAAUGACUGUAGCCGGAGAAGAAGCCCCGGCUAACUUCGUGCCAGCAGCCGCGGUAAUACGAAGGGGGCUAGCGUUGCUCGGAUUUACUGGGCGUAAAGGGCGCGUAGGCGGACAUUUAAGUCAGGGGUGAAAUCCCGGGGCUCAACCUCGGAACUGCCUUUGAUACUGGGUGUCUUGAGUAUGAGAGAGGUGUGUGGAACUCCGAGUGUAGAGGUGAAAUUCGUAGAUAUUCGGAAGAACACCAGUGGCGAAGGCGACUCACUGGCCCAAUACUGACGCUGAGGCGCGAAAGCGUGGGGAGCAAACAGGAUUAGAAACCCGAGUAGUCC
rnacentral:rRNA from 1 species